GUCUUGACUCUGCUAACCGGGAUCCCCCUGUGGUUUCGAGCUGGGACCUCAGCAGCACGAGGAGAUGUAGCUCAGCGGCUUGUAACGGAAAGCAUAUGGACAGGUCCACGGCACGGCAUUUAGGCCUUGAACAAGAUUUAAUUUGAGAGUGCUUGUUCCAUUUCGAGAAACAGAAGGUGCCGAAGCCGCAGAUGUAGGCCAGCAGCCUUACUUACGGAGCAAGACGUUUGAGGCCCACUAGUUAAUGACUCCAGCACUUGUACCCCCGUGCAUGUGGACCGGGCUUCCGGGCUCCCCGGGAAGGGCUCCUUCCCCUGAUCCUGGUGUGGACCGGGCUUCCGGGCUCCCCGGGAAGGGCUCCUUCCCCUGAUCCUGGUGUUUGCUGCGUGGUGCUGACCAGGCUGGGCUGUAAGGGGAAUCUUGGGUUUGGAGGAUACAGUCUUCACAAUGGAUUUGCUUUGAGAGUUGGAUAAACUUGAUUUUACUUUCAGUGCGAGAGUUCUGGCAUGUGCUGUCAGCACACAUUCUGAGCUGUGCUUUGAGACCAUGAACAAGUGGCCAGCCUUUAAAUGUCAGAGAAGCGAAUUUAAGGUGAACAGUGAAUUAAUUCGCUCAUCUCACCCAGAUGUUUACUCUUUACCAUGAUGCUUCCCUUUGAAGGAAAAAUAGCACUCAUCAACAUUCAUCCAGGUUUGAAGCCACAUGCUGGGUUUUUCCUCUUAGCUCACUUUGGAGUGAGGGGCCUUCUGGUCUACCUGAGGCGUUGGGUAUGUCCCAUGUGACCCGUGCUCUGGGGACUUGUGAGGAUGAAGCUCCUGCUCCUGAACAGGUGCUAAGAGAUGGCGGCGCUUGUGGGGCUCUUCUCUGCCUGAGCAUCGGGCCCUCCAGGCACUGGGAGAGCCAGCGCAGAUCCUGGGCUCCUCGCCUGAACAAGCCUUCUCUUCCAGCCCCGGCAGUCCAGCAGCUGAACUGCUCGUUUUCUCUUAAUGAUGGGCAUCGGUAAGAACACUACGUCCAAAUCCAUGGAGGCUGGAAGUUCAACUGAAGGCAAAUACGAAGAUGAAGCGAAGCACCCUGCUUUCUUUACUCU